rnacentral:lncRNA from 1 species
AUGACUGCCAAUUAGCCUAGAUGGCAUCCUUCUUCUCAAUAGUGAUGUUCUGUGAGCUAUAUGUUGAAGUUUUGUGAUGAUCAAGGGUUGUAUAGAGGGCUUGUAAUAUGAUGUGCUGAGGAAAUUCUUUCAAAACCUUAUUCCAUUGUUGAGAUAGAUAUGUGAGAACUAGCUACGUACUAGAAGUUAAAAAUUCAGCUCGGAGAACUUAGGGGGAAAAAAAAUCUUCCAUACGUUGGUUUGUUUAAAAGGAUAUUUUCUGAUUUUAGAUCUAUGGUCAUUGUUUGGAAUUAUUAUCAUGCAAUUGGAUGAAUAUCUUUUCAAAAUCUGUGCAGAUGGAUGAAUAAUCCAAAAUAUCCACUAAUUGCUUCGAGAUAUAUGUGGGUGGAUAAUAUUUGGAUCAAUCAUAUAGUUGCUUGAAGAUAUGUGCAUGCAGAUGAAUAUCUAGAUUGCUUUGAGAUUUGUGUAAUGGAUGAGUAAUCCUAAUUGUCCACUAAUCAUUUUAACAUCUAUGCAUGUGAAUGAAUAUCUGGAUCUGGUUGUUUUGAGAUCUGUGCAGACGAAUGAAUAUUUGGAUCAUUCAUAGUUUUUUUGAGAUCUGUACAUGUGGAUGAAUAUCUCGAUCAUUAGUGGUUGCUUUGACAUCUGUGCAAGCAUCAUCCCCUUUUUCCUCUCGAAUCAUCUCUUUCUCCACAUUGCCAACAAUCGGUGGAGAGAACACAUGAUUGCACUGGUGAGCCUCUCGCGGCAGCACUAAUAGCAUCGACGCACCACUUCCUCAUUUAUGGUGAAUUCCUUUCUUCUUCCCAAAGACCAAGGCUCUCCACUUGCCCAAACCCUAAUUUGUC